GUCAUGAGCACGUGCUGAGGAGGACAACCA
rnacentral:piRNA from 1 species